GGUGUGCAGAUCUAAAAAAAUCAUCGUGGAGUUAAAAAGCAGCCGAUCUGUAAGGACAGGAUCUUUAUUUGAAAAAUCAAAAAUAAGCUUGCCAUCAUGGUUAACAUUUAUUUACAGGUUCUCUCAAGGAUUGCACCUGAGACAGAUAGACAUGAUGCAGGACAGGAUUGCUAGAAGUUCUAAAACUCUCUCCAGAAUGGCUAAGGUCCUGAGAAAGAUCUGUACCAAGGCUAUGAAAGAGUACCAAAAAAGAAGAAGGCAGCAGAUGGGAGGUCAACAAGAAUUUGUUGUUAUUGAUGAAAAGCAAUUUCCGUCAUAAACGAAAGUAUAUAUUUCUUUCUUUUUUUUUUUCUUUCUUUUUUUUGCAGUAUGGACGGGGUAGGGCAUCUACCACAUGGAGGCGAAGGAAGUGGGUUUUUGGAAUGCUGGGUGUGAAACAUAAUCUGCGAAGGCCAAUAUUGCGUCUUGUCACUCGAAGAUCAAGAAAUCAUCUAAUUCCAAUUAUUGUCAAACAUGUGCGUCCAGGUACAAUCCUGAUCUCAGAUGAGUGGAGAGCUUACAGAGGUGUGCUGGCAAAUAUGGGCUACAGACAUUUUACAGUCAAUCACAGUCACUGGUUUGUAGACCCAAACACUGGAGCCCAUUCACAGCAUCUAGAACGAGCAUGGCUGUCUUAUAAAACAAGGGUGUGGAGACUAAGAGGAAACAGGACAGAGAAAAUGUUAAAAGAACAUCUCGCUCUCAUUGAAUGGACCAACUGGCUUGGUGAAAGGCACAGAAGAGGUGUCCUUGGACGGUUAUUCAGAGACAUUUACCAUCAAUUUCCAGUCUAACAAAUCCUAUCUUCUUGUUACAUGUGUGUUUAAUGCUCAAUGGCUGACUUCUUCUAAAACAUUUGUAUACAUUACAAAAAUAUAUUCUAAUAAAGAUUAUUUAGUUAUUUUUUUAUUAUUAUUAAGAUUAUUAUUAUUAGUAGUAGUAGUGUAUCAGUUAAAUAAGGAAGUGAGUAUUUGGACACAGGGAAUUUUGAAUGACAAUGAAAUGUGGCGAAUUGAUAAUUGUUCUUACUUACAAAUCAGAAAACCAAUGUGACAAGUUGUGACAAGAUCAUUAUUAACUAGUCAUUAACUAAUGUAAGUUCAUGAUUUGUUGAGGCAUCUUUAUGUCAUGACUUUACUUGAAGGGGCACAUGAUGGUUAACUCAUUAUUAACUAGUCAUUAACUAGCAUGAGUUCAUGAUUUGUUGAGGCAUCUUUAUGUCAUGACUUUACUUGAAGGGGCACAUGAUGGUUAACUCAUUAUUAACUAGUCAUUAACUAGCAUGAGUUCAUGAUUUGUCGAGGCAUCUCAACAUAAGUCAUAAAUUAAGUGAUCAGUUACACAUGCAGUAUAGUUUCCAGGCUAUUUAAAUAAGUGAAUGGAGGUAUGUAUUCUUUGAGGUUGGAUGAAACAGAGUAACAUAAAGGAAAAUCACUUGAAACAAAAUGAAUUUAGGUAAAGUAUUUGUAGCCGAAUUAAUUUUCACGAAGUUAUCCAUGAUGUGGGAACGAUGUACAGUAAAUGAUAAUGAAAUGCAAUAAUCCAACUGAAGCACAUCACCUUAAUACACUCCACAUUUACGAAACAACAUUCUUCCUGGAAAUAAAUAUAAUCAGAGCUGUCGUCAAGAACAACAUUUCUGGUAAGUUGUUAACCAGGGAUAGUGAAAAGUACAUUUUGAAAUGCUUAAAAAUUGUCUGCACCAGUCACGUGUACAAGUCAGGAGUAAUACUGAAGCGUGGUGUAUGUGUGAAAUGCAAUAAAACAGUGCAAGAUUAGUGCUGAUCAAGUUGAUACAGUUCUGAGCGAUGUCUGCUGUUCUUCUUUCUUCUUAAAGAGUCAACUUGAUGAAGCUGAUCAUUUGUUGUUAAUUAACAUGUUAACUAACAAACGUGUGUUAACGUGUAGUUAAGGUGGCUGUAGUUAACACAUGAAUCCUCAUGAUUCCAGGCGUAGCUAAGGUUAGUCCAUCAUUAAUUCCUUAUUGGUCCAUUAAUUAGUUCAUGAUUAAUAAACUAUUAAUUCAGAUAUUAGUACAUCAUUAAUCAUGUACCCUUAUUGUAAAGUGUUACCAAUAUAAUUAUUGAUACAUAUAGAAAUAUAUGUAUUCAAAACCACAUCAAUAUAUAAAAAAAAUUAUAUUAUGAUAAUCAUUUUCCCCCAGAUUCUUUGAUGAACAGAAAAUUCAAAAGAACAACAUUUCAUUUAAAGGGUUUUGGAACAGUACAACCUUGCAAUAAAAAGUUAAUUUCUGGGAAUGAAAAAAAAAAAUUUUAUUAAAACAUAUUUAUCAGUUCUACAAAAAGACCAAUGAUCUCAUAUCGCACAUCAGCCAUUACCCUUGUUGUCUCAUUACAUUUGGAGGUUGUGCCACUAUUAGGCAUUGUGCUGAGAGGAAAUGGGAACAUAUUAAAUAGGGUAUUGUCAGCACACUCCAUCUAUUCAGUCUGAAUGAUAUGAAAAGUGUUUAGGGCAUCCAAGUGAAGCAUAUUUUUAAUAAGCAAACAAUGCAGUUUUCUGUUUUCACCAAAACACUGUCUUGGAGCAGUGUGGCAUGAAGUGUUUCUCUGUGU
ensembl:lncRNA